AUGCUAAUAAAGGAUCUUGUUCCAAAUAUUGCAGUAUACAAUGCUCUAAUAAAUGGCCUUUGUAAAGCAGGGAACAUUGAACGAGCAUUGAGACUUUUCAAUAAGCUUCAUUCGAAAGGGUUAGCGCCGAAUGUUAUAACUUAUAACACUCUGAUAGAUGGAUACUAUAAGAUUGGUAAAACUAGUGAAGCCGUGCAACUGCUGAAGAGAAUGACUGAAGAAGAAAAUGUUCCGUCAUAAAUUCUUCAAUUCUGAUUAGUGGUCUACCUAAGAAAUGUGAUAUUCAAGAACAAAUGAAGCUUUUAAGCUGGACGACAGAAGAAAGGAUGGUUUAGACCAGAUUCUUGCGAGACAGAGCAAAAAGAGAAGGAGAUGGACUUCAAGAUAUGUGUUACAAUUUUAUUGCCUUUGGCAUUCAACUGUUCAUCAGUGCAAGUCUAGAGACAUGUUCUAUAGCUUGUAAACUCUAUUGUACCGAGCCUCAGCAAAAGAAAUCAUGUCAUGAAAGGUGAAAAUAUUUCUUGGUUCUCCUCUGCUGUUAAAAGCAUUGGCUGAUUAAUGGGAUGAACAGGUUGGCACAAGGGUGCUCACUUUGUAUUCGGUGGCCAAAGAAGUGUCCUAUUUUAUUAAAAUGGUUCAAAUGAGGUCUCAGGAAAGCUUAACUCAACCGCAAUUUCAACAUUAGUGGACGAUGCCGCAACUACUACUUCUUUAGGAAGAAGUAAACUCGAGGUAUUUUUUUUUUACUUUUUUUCUUUUUCCUCAUCAUAUUAUGGCUGAUUACCCGCUCUUUUUGAUUGAAACUUUUGCAUAUUUUAUUUUAGUAUCUUACAGCUAAAGUAAAGUAUGUGGAGCUACAUUUAAUAAAGUGGAUUUUUACAAAUAUGCUCUUUUAAUACCCUGGUAAUACACAGGGUAUGUUGUUGUUGGGUGUUUUAUAUUAAAUUGUUUACAAAAUUUAAUUCUUAGAAGCUGUGUUUCCUUUUCAAGGAGCAAUGGGUGAUUUGUUCCUGUUGAUGAAGUCUAGGAUAUCUUUUGCUUCGAAUCAUGAAAACUAAACUGAUACAUUGAAUUUUCGUCCGAAAAAUAAUUUUCAAUGAAAAGGGAAGAACUUUAAUGCAACCAAGAAAUUUGGCCAUGUCUAAAGCAAUCAAUAUUCUUUUAGAUGAAAGGGAUGGAAAAGAUGUGGCAUGAUUAGUAACGCUAUACAAAUGAGCAUUCCUUGUCUUUAUUUAAAACCAAAUAUUGUUCAAUUAAUAUCUGAAUAUCUUUCAAACGGUGGAGCUUUUUAUGGAGAUCCAUUCAUGAUUUACCACAUUUUAUUUUAUUUGUUCAAUAGAAGUCCAGCGAAAUAAUUAUUACACUCCAUGUAGCAUAAGAGGCUUCAUAUCCCAAAAAUCUAUUAUUUAGUGAGUGCAAUAGUUGUGUGCAUUAUAGAGAAGAAUUCUUUUGGCAAUCCGGUAUGAGCACAAAGUUCUUAAUCCAGUGAUUUGAAUAUAUAGUUUUCAAGGUAGUCCUCAGUUUCUCAGUUGUUAUAGUAAUUCGACAUUGCUCGACUUAAAAGCACUUCUAUCUCUCAGGUGAUGACCAACUUGUGUUUGGAAUGUCUGUGAAACGAAUGAUCUUGGAAACUAUAUCACUAAUGUGCCGUUUAUUUUUCUUAGAACAAGUUAUAAACAAUAGCAUGUUUUCACCACUUUUGUUAAUUGAACCCCCUUCAAGUACCAUAAUCCUACUUGAUCUUCAGAGGCAUAUCCAUAUUGAGAAUUAUGAGAAAAAGUGAAAUCAAUGUGAUCAAAAGAUGAAAAUGUGUGACAGGAUUAACUGUUCUCUGUACAAGUGGGCGUUUUAUGUCUUAAUUUAAAAGCAAAUAUUGUCAAAUUUUAAUAUCUAAAUUUCUCUUGAACUAUGAGAUUUUGUAGGGAGAUUACCACAUAUUACUUUAUAUGUUCAAUAAAUGUCACUUAAUUUACAUAUCGUCCACUUGCUUAUUGAACAUUAAUGACUUAAAUCAGUAUAAGAAAAGAGGUCGCCUACUUGCUUAUUCAAAAUCUAGUUGAAUGUAAUGAGAUUUCUUUAUUAAAGGAUCGAGCAUUUAGAGCAGUUCAAAGUGAAAUCAUGAUUGCUUUGAUGGAAUUAAAAUCCUCAAAGUGUAAAUAAUUACUCCCUUUGUUUAAAAAAGAAUGACCUAGUUUGACUUGAUACGGAGUUUAAGAGAAUAAAAAAGACUUUUGAAUCUUAUGGUCUUAAAUUAAAGAUAUGUUAAAUGUACCAAAAUGCCCUUCAAUUUUGUGGUCUUAAGCAUGCCACUUGAAAAGUUAAAAUUUAAAAAUUGCUAAAAAAAAAAAAAAGGUCAUUCUUUUUCAAACGAACUAAAAAAACAAGUCUUUCUUUUUAAAACGGUGAGAGUAUUAUCUUUCUUCUGUUGUACUCAGAUAUAUAUGCAUAAUGUAGUAUACUAUAUUGGUAUAGUAACCAGUUUACUUUUUCUUUCUACUUUAGUUUUCUCCAUGUGAAUUUUAUUGGUGUGCUAUUUUGUAUUCUUUUUUGUUUUGGAGGGAGACAUCAUAUUAGUUAUGUACAUAAAGUAGAGGAUCAUUUUGUUCAAACUAUUCUCUCCAAUAUCAUUCAACGGUUUAUUCAAUUUUCAUGAAAAAUAAUUAUUUGAAUUUUCAUUUUUGAAUUUCAUUGUUUGAGGUGAACAUAGGUAUAAUAGCUUUCAUGUUGUUUGUAUAUUAUGUAAAGU